ACACCAAUGGUGAAGCGGUUAUCAUGCUUGCCUUCCAUGAAUACAAUAAGCAAGCGGCAGGGGUUCGACUCCCCUUUGGUGUA